GACGCAUCGCCGGCCCCCAUCC
rnacentral:siRNA from 1 species